CCCGCCUUCAAGAGCCACACAGAACUCUCACCCCCUCCCCAAAGUCACGGUGUUCUGCUGCAUGUCACCUCGCCGUCCGACCCACUGUAGGACUGCCUCCAGAUGCCACGUUUCUCAUCUGCGUGUUUUCUCCCCAGUCCAGGGUUGUGAUGGCCUUCACAGUGUCAGGACCAGGGGGACUGGCCAAUACAGACUGAGACCUUUAAGGAGGGUAGCCCGUGUUGGAAUGUCCUUGCCUUUGAAGGCUGAAAAACACUCUCCUGCAUGCUGGAUUGGAUUUUGCUUCCUCACCGUCUGUUGAUGGACACUUGGAUUAUUCCCUUUGGGCUGCUGUGAACGCAGCAUUCUGCUUGCUUCCCACUGGACGCGAUGGCGCAGCUCCACACAGCAGCAGUCCCAGGCCCGGGGCCCGCCUUUUCUUUGCUCUUCCCCCUACCUGGAUUCUGGAGCUCACUCCAAAGUCACUUCCCUUCUGGAUGAAGAACAUCUUCAGUGUUUGUUUUUUUUUUUUUAUUAAAUCAUAGCUGUGUAUAUUAAUGCGAUCAUGGGGCACCAUACCCUGGUUUUAUAGACCGUUUGACAC